rnacentral:tRNA from 1 species
UAUAAUAUAGUGUACCCCGCACAUAAGCCUUUGAAGCUUAAAGAAGAUUUCCCCUUAUUAUAA